UACGUAGGGUGCAAGCGUUGUCCGGAAUCAUUGGGCGUAAAGCGCGCGUAGGUGGCUUUGUAAGUCCGUUGUGAAAGUCAAAGGCUCAACCUUUGAAUGCCGGUGGAAACUGUCAGGCUCGAGUCCGGAAGAGGCGAGUGGAAUUCCUGGUGUAGCGGUGAAAUGCGCAGAGUAUCAGGAGGAACACCAAUGGCGAAGGCAGCUCGCUGGG
rnacentral:rRNA from 1 species